rnacentral:rRNA from 1 species
GAUCGAACGGCGUAGCGACAGGCGUUAACACAUGCAAGUCGAGGGGCAGCAACGGUGUAGCAAUACAUUGGUGGCGACCGGCGCACGGGUGAGUAACGCGUAUGCAACCUACCUAUCAGAGGGGAAUAACCCGGCGAAAGUCGGACUAAUACCGCAUAAAACAGGGGUUCCACAUGGAAAUAUUUGUUAAAGAUUUAUCGCUGAUAGAUGGGCAUGCGUUCCAUUAGAUAGUUGGUGAGGUAACGGCUCACCAAGUCUACGAUGGAUAGGGGUUCUGAGAGGAAGGUCCCCCACACUGGUACUGAGACACGGACCAG